rnacentral:rRNA from 1 species
CAUGCAGUCGAACGAGAAAGUCACUUCGGUGGCGAGUAGAGUGGCGCACGGGUGAGUAACGCGUAGUUGACCUACCUCUUAGCGGGGGAUAACCAGGAGAAAUUCUGGCUAAUACCGCAUACGUAGUACGACAUUGGAAAAGUACUAGAAAGGAUGCCUCUCCUUGGAAGCAUUUACUAAGAGAUGGGACUGCGUUGCAUUAGCUUGUUGGUGGGGUAAUGGCCUACCAAGGCAACGAUGCAUAGCUGGUCUGAGAGGAUGAUCAGCCACACUGGAACUGAGACACGGUCCAGACUCCUACGGGAGGCAGCAGUGGGGAAUAUUGCGCAAUGGGGGAAACCCUGACGCAGCAAUGCCGCGUGAGUGAGGAAGGCCUUCGGGUUGUAAAGCUCUGUCAGAAGGGAAGAACGGCACAUUAUCUAAUAGGUAGUGUGUGUGACGGUACCUUCAAAGGAAGCACCGGCUAACUUCGUGCCAGCAGCCGCGGUAAUACGAAGGGUGCAAGCGUUGUUCGGAUUUACUGGGCGUAAAGCGCGCGCAGGCGGAUUGAUAAGUCAGAUGUGAAAUCUCGGGGCUCAACCCCGAAACUGCGUCUGAAACUGUUGAUCUAGAGUUAUGUAGGGGAGAAGGGAAUUUCGCAUGUAGGGGUAAAAUCCGUAGAGAUGCGAANGAACACCAGAGCCGAANGGGCUUCUCUGGGCAUACACUGACGCUGANGCGCGAAAGCGUGGGUAGCAAACAGNAUUAGAUACCCUGGUAGUCCACGCCGUAAACNAUGANUACUAGAUUUUGGGGGAUUUGACCCCUUCAGAGUCNCAGCUAACGCANUNAGUACUCCG